UACCAGCACCCCGAGUGGUCGGGACGUUUAUUGGGCUUAAAGCAUCCGUAGCCGGUUCUACAAGUCUUCCGUUAAAUCCAACUGCUUAACAGGUGGGCUGCGGAAGAUACUAUAGAGCUAGGAGGCGGGAGAGGCAAAGCGGUACUCGAUGGGUAGGGGUAAAAUCCGUUGAUCCAUUGAAGACCACCAGUGGCGAAGGCGGCUUGCCAGAACGCGCUCGACGGUGAGGGAUGAAAGCUGGGGGGAGCAAACCGG
rnacentral:rRNA from 1 species